rnacentral:rRNA from 1 species
GUAAGGAAUAUUGGUCAAUGGACGAAAGUCUGAACCAGCCAUGCCGCGUGGAGGAUGAAGGUCCUCUGGAUUGUAAACUUCUUUUAUAUGGGACGAAAAAAGGCUUUUCUAAGUCGUCUGACGGUACCAUAUGAAUAAGCACCGGCUAACUCCGUGCCAGCAGCCGCGGUAAUACGGAGGGUGCAAGCGUUAUCCGGAUUCACUGUGUUUAAAGGGUGCGUAGGUGGAUUGCCAAGUCCGUGGUGAAAUCUUCGAGCUUAACUCGGAAACUGCCAUGGAUACGGGUGAUCUUGAAUAUCGUGGAGGUUAGCGGAAUAUGUCAUGUAGCGGUGAAAUGCUUAGAUAUGACAUAGAACACCAAUUGCGAAGGCAGCUGGCUACGCGAAUAUGGACACUCAGGCACGAAAGCGUGGGGAUCAAACAGGAUUAGAUACCCCUGUAGUCC